GGAGAUAGCUCAAGGGUAGAGCACCUGUCUAGCACAUAUGAGGUCCUGGGAUCAAUUCCCAGCACCA
rnacentral:tRNA from 1 species